rnacentral:rRNA from 1 species
UACGUAGGGUGCAAGCGUUGUCCGGAAUUAUUGGGCGUAAAGAGCGUGUAGGCGGCCAAGCAGGUCCGCUGUGAAAACUCGAGGCUCAACCUCGAGACGUCGGUGGAAACCGUUUGGCUAGAGUCCGGAAGAGGAGAGUGGAAUUCCCGGUGUAGCGGUGAAAUGCGCAGAUAUCAGGAGGAACACCGGUGGCGAAGGCGGGUCUCUGGGCCGAUACUGACGCUGAGGAGCGAAAGCGUGGGGAGCGAACAGG